rnacentral:rRNA from 1 species
CCUACGGGAGGCUGCAGUCGAGAAUCAUUCGCAAUGGGCGCAAGCCUGACGAUGCGACGCCGUGUGAACGAAGAAGGCCUUCGGGUUGUAAAGUUCUUUCGCCUGGGAGCAAGAGAAGCAGAUUAAUACCCUGCUGAUUUGAGAGUACCAGGUAAAGAAGCACCGGCUAACUCCGUGCCAGCAGCUGCGGUAAGACGGAGGGUGCAAGCGUUAAUCGGAUUUAUUGGGCGUAAAGGGCGCGUAGGCGGGGAUAUAAGUCAGAUGUGAAAUCCCGGGGCUCAACUCCGGAACGGCAUUUGAAACUGUAUUCCUUGAGGGUAGAAGGAGAGAACGGAAUUCCACGUGUAGCGGUGAAAUGCGUAGAUAUGUGGAAGAACACCGGUGGCGAAGGCGGUUCUCUAUUUUAUUCCUGACGCUGAGGCGCGAAAGCAAGGGGAUCAAACAGGAUUAGAUACCCCAGUAGUC